rnacentral:rRNA from 1 species
AAAGCGGAGGAAAAGAAACCAACAGGGAUUGCCUCAGUAACGGCGAGUGAAGCGGCAAAAGCUCAAAUUUGAAAUCCYCCGGGAAUUGUAAUUUGAAGAGAUUUGGGUCCGGCCGGCAGGGGUUAAGUCCACUGGAAAGUGGCGCCACAGAGGGUGACAGCCCCGUGAACCCCCUNAAMGCCCUCAUCCCAGAUCUCCAAGAGUCGAGUUGUUUGGGAAUGCAGCUCUAAGUGGGUGGUAAAUUCCAUCUAAAGCUAAAUACCGGCGAGAGACCGAUAGCGAACAAGUACAGUGAUGGAAAGAUGAAAAGCACUUUGAAAAGAGAGUGAAAAAGUACGUGAAAUUGUUGAAAGGGAAGGGCUUGCAAGCAGACACUUAACUGGGCCAGCAUCGGGGCGGCGGGGAGCAAAACCACCGGGGAAUGUACCUUUCGAGGAUUAUAACCCCGGCCCUUACUCCCA